GGUUUAAAAUUGCUAUAGAAAUUAUUUGGAAUUAUUUAGGAUUUGGUUAGGAUUUGUUUAGGAUUUGGUUAAGAUUUAAUUAGGAUUUUAUUAAGAUUUGUUCAGUAUUUGUUUAGGAUUUGAUUAGAAUUUAUUUAGGAUUUGUUUAGGAUUUGGUUAAGAUUUAUUUAAGAUUUAUUUAGGGUUGAUUAGGAUUUGGUUAAGAUUUGACUAAGAUUUAAUUAAGGUUUC
rnacentral:lncRNA from 1 species